UGGGUGACGUUUUGUUUUCUA
rnacentral:piRNA from 1 species